GUCCAAAUGAAAAAAUAUUUGGUCUAGCCUGCCCACUGAAAAUUUUAAAGGGCCGCGGUAUUCCUAACCGUGCAAAGGUAGCAUAAUCAUUAGUCUUUUAAUUGAAGGCUUGUAUGAAUGGUUGGACGAGGAAUAAACUGUUUCAAUUAUAUAAAUUGAAUUUAACUUUUAAGUGAAAAGGCUUAAAUUUUCUAAAAAGACGAUAAGACCCUAUAAAUCUUUACAUUAAAAUUUACAGUUAUUUAAUUUGUAAGUUCAAAAGAAAAUGUUAAUUUAAUGUUAUGUUGGGGAGACAAAAAUAUAAUAAAAAUAACUAUUUUUUUUUUAUAAAACAAAAAUUAUUGAAUUAAAGAUCCUUUUUAAAGAUUAAAAAAUUAAGUUACUUUAGGGAUAACAGCGUUAUUCUUUUUGAGAGUUCCCAUCGAAAAAAGAGUUUGCGACCUCGAUGUUGAAUUAAAAUUUCUUUAUGGUGCAGCAGCUAUAGAAGAAAGUCUGUUCGACUUUUAAAAUUUUACAUGAUUUGAGUUCAAACCGGCGUGAGCCAGGUUGGUUUUCUAUCUAAA
rnacentral:rRNA from 1 species